CCUUCUUCUCAAGCGAUGUGGUUGGGAGGCCAAGGAGCUCAUGUACCUUUGCCUCAAGAAAUGUUAAUGGAUUCCUGGGGGAGUAACAUCCUCUCUCCCUCCCCACCAUUACCCUUCCCUGGCCACCAAUAUGAUUCAGGUUCUCUCUGUUAUGCCAGGCUAUGCUCUGGAAAAGAGAGAAAAAGGAAGAGGUUAAAAAUGAGAUUGAAGCCUCCCUUAAAAGGUGAAUACAUUGGGAUCCCACUGACCUUUGGCACCCUGCCUGCUGACUGGGCCUGUACUCUAUCCACUGUGCCACCUGGCCAUCCCACACACAGCCUCUUGAUGAAGUUGAUGCUGCUGCUCCACCUGCAGAGUUAGCAACUGGAUCUCUUGCUGAAGGACAUCAGUUUUCUGCAGGAGCCAGAGAACCUCCACAAUGAAAAAACUAGAAUAUGAGGCAAAAACAAGAUUUUUAUGGAAGGCCUCUGCAACACAUAUUCAGUCCUAAAUAAACCAAUAUUUGUAUGAAUUGGAGGUGAAGAAAGAGAGGAAGAACAGUUUUUGCAACACUGAUUUCCAGACAUGACAGGAAGAAUCUUCUGGAUGAUACGGCUGGUUCUGCAUGGAGACAAUAUGUAUGUCAAUGAGAAGGAGGCCACAAG